AGUGAACGCUGGCGGUAGGCCUAACACAUGCAAGUCGAACGGCAGCACAGGAGAGCUUGCUCUCUAGGUGGCGAGUGGCGGAAGGGUGAGGAAUACAUCGGAAUCUGCCCAGUCGUGGGGGAUAACGUAGGGAAACUUACGCUAAUAACGCAUACGACCUUCGGGUGAAAGAGGGGGAUCGCAAGACCUCUCGCGAUUGGAUGAGCCGAUGUCGGAUUAGCUAGUUAGCGGGGUAAUGGCCCACCAAGGCGACGAUCCGUAGCUGGUCUGAGAGGAUGAUCAGCCACACUGGAACUGAGACACGGUCCAGACUCCUACGGGAGGCAGCAGUGGGGAAUAUUGGACAAAGGGCGCAAGCCUGAUCCAGCCAUACCGCGUGGGUGAAGAAGGCCUUCGGGUUGUAAAGCCCUUUUGUUGGGAAAGAAAUCUUUCAGGCUAAUACCCUGGGAGGAUGACGGUACCCAAAGAAUAAGCACCGGCUAACUUCGUG
rnacentral:rRNA from 1 species